UACGAAGGGGGCUAGCGUUGUUCGGAAUUACUGGGCGUAAAGCGCACGUAGGCGGAUAUUUAAGUCAGGGGUGAAAUCCCGGGGCUCAACCCCGGAACUGCCUUUGAUACUGGGUAUCUCGAGUCCGAGAGAGGUGAGUGGAAUUCCGAGUGUAGAGGUGAAAUUCGUAGAUAUUCGGAGGAACACCAGUGGCGAAGGCGGCUCACUGGCUCGGUACUGACGCUGAGACGCGAAAGCGUGGGGGAGCGGACAGG
rnacentral:rRNA from 1 species